CCAAUUUAGGUCUAUAUAUAYAUGAAACAUAGGAAUACAUCAAAUGUUUUAAUUGCUUCUAAGAUAGUGCCUGUUAUGUAAAAUUAAAGAAGGAAAAAAUGCUCUUUGUAACUUAGUAUUUGCCAUAUUUUCAAUAUGUAUACYUGUGUUAUCCAUAGAAAAGCUGAUGUGACUUAGCUAAUGGUUAGGUGUGAAGGUAAUAGGAUGGGAAGUUUUCCUAAAGCCUUCUCUUCUUCAGGAAAUAAUCAGCUCUUGAUGUCCUUUCACCCUGUUCUUUUUUCCUUAUAUCCUUCCUGUGCCUAAUUUCCCAUAUUUCUUGAACCUGUCAUACCAUUGGUGAUGCUUAUCCCAUUUCAGUCUUUGGUUUUGUGGAGUUUACUUAAGGCUACAGAAUGGCUGAGGUCUUCAUUUCAAGUAUGAUGUCAGGAUGUCAGUUGCCAGAAGGUCAAGUGAGAUAUGGGAAGAAUACAGUAUUUUGUUCUGUUUAUCUGCAUAUUCUCAGUGCACAUCCACUGCAUGKGGGCUUGUUCUCAAACAUUUCUUGCAUGCCAGCCUGCAGAGCUAAAACUGGCUUUCUGGGCAGAUUAUAACAAUACAAACAAGCUUUCUGCAGAAUGGGAGUGAACAYACAGGUUUUCAUCUCAGCCCUAGCUACAAGAGUGUGUAUUUCUCUGUCUGCCAACAUUUUGUAAAAACUUGUAAUAACAAUCCAGCCUCAUGCAGGGUGAAGGUCUGAGUACAUGACUCCCAUACAUUGGACCUGCCCAGAUGUCUUAUGAGACAAAUCUUUCUGAGGUUUUCUCAGAGAUUUACAGGAAAUYAGACCAUUCCUUCCAAACCAGAAAUGGGUGGACUAUGCCUGUAAAUGAAAAGCACUUGCUUUGUGAGAAAGGAAAUCUUGUAGCUGAUGCUACCAUGGAAGGAGCAGCAGAUUUUUGCUAGCUGCAGAAAUUGUCUCUUAAGUGAUCCUUGCAGAUCUUCACAGAUGGGCUGAACAGCAGUGCUAAAACUGUCCACAGGAGUUCGCAUAAAGACUGAACACCCCUAAUGGAAAAUAACACAACUUUGUCACUUGUGCUUCUCAAAGAACCUGAAAAACAGAAGUACAUUUCUACUGUAGACUAAUUUGAUAACAGCUAGGUUGGAUGCCUGACCAAAAGUGCAUAUAAACACUAGAAGUAUUUUCUCAGGAUAUUCUUCUUGUCACCAACAUUUAUAUACCUCAGUAUAAUGCUGGUUUUUUGUUGUUCAACACCAUGGCAGUCUAGUAUCAUGCCCAGCUCCUCCUGAGUAUUUUGUAGUGACUUCUUAACUUACACUGUGUGACACUGGUGCUGGGCUGAUUUGAAGCUCAGGUCAUCCUAGUUUUUAUUGGGAUGGAUAUUUCCGAAUCAACAGACAACAGGUUUUCCAGCACUAUUUUCAGCAGUGGAAGUAUCACAGUAGGUGAGGUUGGGAAGAAGAAAAGUUCAACAGACCUUUUUWAUUCUGAUGGGCUUACUUUUUAAUGCUAGUUGCAAGAGUUUUAUCAUUAUAUGUUUAGUUAUGUAGAUUCAUGAGGCUUUCAUUUGUAUUUACUUAGAUCAUAAAAUUCUAGCUUCAAUGGGGCCUUCAGUAUCUGAAAUGGAAUUUCAUAAGACACAAGUAUUUUCCUCAGGUUUCAGAAAUUGUAACUGUGACAAAGUCAGGAGAUACUCCUUAAAGUUCAUGAUGGCUCCUUAGAGGUUUUUUUAGGUGAGUUGUUGAGGGAAUCAGAAAAAAUAAUUGUUGUCCUAUAUCGUGAUCCAUGUCACUAUGAGUCAAAAGGAAGAUUUUCUGGGCAGACAGCAGUUCUUUAUGACUUCUAAUAAUGUUAUUGCCUCUGUUUUGGGGACAGAUCACCACUCCUAGAGAAGAAACCUGCUGGAGUGGYCCAGUGGUGCAAUGAGAUGUUUUUCCUUUAAAAGACAGAAUUUCCCCUAAAGUGACCACUUCAGAGCAACAGCAGGAAAAAAAAACAAACCAACAAAAAGUCCAUGAGAACUAGGUAAGUUUCCAUUCCCAAACUGAUUGUGGAGGAGGAAGAUCUUCCUGUUGCAUUUAUACUGUUUUAACCAAUUUCAUGUUUUCUCCCACUACAGAAGUGAAUGCACUUGAUUCAGUGAGUUGAGCAUUUGCAGUGCCAAAGCAACUCAGACCACUUGAAUCUUUUAGUGGUUCCUCCCUACCCCUCCUUUCUUUGUUUGGGGCCAGGUAAAUAGAUAAUGUAAGUCAUUACUGAGAUUACUGCAGUCUGGAUCAUYACCCAGAAUACCAUCUGCCAGUAUUUUGUCAAGCUUCCUUCUAUUAAAAAGCCAUUAGAUUACAUCUGACAUACAUUUAUGAGCAGCAGAUAAACCAGUUCACUUGACAGAUAAAUAGGAACCCAAGUAACUAUUUUUUAAUUAUGACUACUACCAUAUGUUGUCACUCACRAUAUACUUGAUCAUACUUCAAUGAAAUAUAUCUUAAAACUCUUUGUCUUGUCAAUAGAAGAAAAGAACAGGUGGCAAUACUUUGACACUCAGGACUCUGAGUUCACUGAACAUUUAUAUUUUCAUUGACAUGAAACAAAGAAAUCAAUUUGAAAAUAUAUAUGUAUAAGAUGUAGCAUGCAUGCUACAUCGGUUUACUUCUGAUAUCUGGAGAACAAGAACUGUGUAAAGUUGGUGAUACUUGAAUUUUGAAGUAAAAUUCAGAAAUAAUAGUCGUAUUUUUAGUAAGGAAAAGGGCUUCCACAUACUGUUUCAAAGGUUUUUGUGUGCAUUUGUUGGAAUAGCUAUUUGAAUAUAGUGGGCAACAAAAAUAUAGGCUAUUCCUGUUAAAUGUGCAAGUCUGCUUAGACUAUGUAAUUUUUACUUUUAACAGAAUGAAAGAAAAUAGUGUUAAGUUUCAAACUUAAAGACUGUUUUAUAUCACCCUCUUUUUAUUUUCCAUAUCUUAGUGUAUAAAAAGAAAUGCUGUGGAGUGUCCUGAGGAUAACUCUCUUGGAAUUUUAAUCACAGUUCAUACAAGAUCAUCCUACUUACUUUGCUCUCUGACUCCUGGCAGCUGGAACCAGAGAUGCACAUGAGUCACAACAGCAUGCAACAAUYAGUGUCUCCUUCAGGGCAGAAUACCCUUGGAGCUUGUGUUGGUCUGCAGUUUAGGAGGWGGGCAAGCAUCAGAGAAGAACAAAGAAGAGAGACAGCUUUGGAAUCAGCAGUGGAACAAUAGAAUAUCCGCCUGGAGUGCUGCGUGCAGUUCUGGUGCCCCCAAUAAGGAGGACAUGGACCUGUUGGAGCAAGUCCCAAGGAGCUCCACUAAGGUGGUAAGAAGACUGGAGCACCUUCCCUAUGAAGACAGGCUGAAAAACUUGGAGCUGUUCACCCUGGAAGAGAGAAGGUUGCAUGCAGAUCUCAUAGCAGCAUUCUGGUAUCUGAAGGGGGUCUACAGGGAAGCUGGAGAGAGACUCUUCAUCAGGAACUGCAGUGAUAGGACAAAGAGUAUUGGGUACAAACCAAAAUAGACAAGAUUUAGGCUAGGACUAGGAAGAAAAUCUUCACUGUGAGGCACUGGACUGGUUGCCUAGGGACGCUGUGGAUGCCCCAACCUUGGCAGUAUUCAAGGYCACGUUGGAUAAGCCUUGACCAGCCUGAUCUAGUGGGAGGUGUCCCUGUCCAUGGCAGCGGGGUUUGGGACUAGAUGAUCUUUAAGGUUCCUUACAACCCUUAACAAUYUGUGAUUCUCUGAUUCUAGGAUUGYGCUCUGGAGAAUAUUAUCUAGGGCUUUCUCCACUCAAAUUUUAAGUUAUAAGACACGUAACUACUUUCCAUUAGUAUUUACAAAUUCAGUUACCUUUAUAUGAAGGUUUUGGGGAUUUUUUUUCUGUUAGUAUAAAGCUUUCUUUCCCUUUUCUGAAUUUUCUGAGACACCCAAUCUCCCUUGUUAUUAACUAAAAAUCAUGCAAACAAACCACAUGCCUUUAUCCAGGCUCUCAUCCAACCCAAUUCUCCCAUGUUUCCUGUUUCUCAGCCCUUUUCUUUAAACCUUAGACCACACUGACUAGUCCAAAAUCUAUUUUAAAAAUCAGUUACAUAUAAAUAAGGUUUAGAGUAGUUGCAGGAUUUUGAAGAUCCCAGGUAUGAAAAUCAAUACCCAACAUUCUCUCUUGUUUUUUUCCAAAUAGAUAUUUGCAAAUAUAAUUGAGGUUUUUUUUGCUUGGAUGCAUACAAGCAGACACUGUGGUAGUCUAUCCUCUGUUUAAAGUUAGAAAAGAUGUGUUAAAAAUGACACUGUAGGUCUUUGAAGGAAACUGCUAAUUCAGACAACAUUGUAUAUUAAAUACUCACUGUAUKUCUUGUUAUGCUCUGGAAGUUACUUUUCGGGUGUUAGCUGAUAUUGGUAACACUUAAGGAUUCAGGUUUUGUAUGCAUUUCCAUAAAACAUGAAAAUCUCUCCACCACUACUUCACGAUCACUCAGGGAAGCAAGGAAAACAUAGCUGUUCCUUUGGAUGACUUUGCUAUUUAAAAAUAAAUCUCUGUU